UCGGGAAUUUUGGGCAAUGGGGGAAACCCUGACCCAGCAACGCCGCGUGAAGGAUGAAGUAUUUCGGUAUGUAAACUUCGAAAGAAUAGGAAGAAUAAAUGACGGUACUAUUUAUAAGGUCCGGCUAACUACGUGCCAGCAGCCGCGGUAAUACGUAGGGACCAAGCGUUGUUCGGAUUUACUGGGCGUAAAGGGCGCGUAGGCGGCAUGACAAGUCACUUGUGAAAUCUCUGGGCUUAACCCAGAACGGCCAAGUGAUACUGUCGCGCUAGAGUGCAGAAGGGGCAAUCGGAAUUCUUGGUGUAGCGGUGAAAUGCGUAGAUAUCAAGAGGAACACCUGAGGUGAAGACGGGUUGCUGGGCUGACACUGACGCUGAGGCGCGAAAGCCGGGGGAGCAAACGGGAUUAGAUACCCUUGUAGUCCCUGAGCGGGCUGGCAAGGCGCAU
rnacentral:rRNA from 1 species